UAUGUGAUCGUCUCUCGCAUAUCAAUAAGCGGAGGAAAAGAAACUAACAAGGAUUCCCCUAGUAACGGCGAGGUGAAGCGGGAAGAGCUCAAAUUUGAAAUCUUAAAGGGUUUCCCUUUACGAAUUGUAGUUUAAAGAAGUGUUUUCUGUUGAGGUUUUGGUAAAAGUUCUUUGGAAUAGGACAUCAUAGAGGGUGAGAAUCCCGUAUUUGACCUUUACUUUCAACUUUGUGAUACACUUUCAAAGAGUCGGAUUGUUUGGGAAUGCAGUCCAAAAUGGGUGGUAAAUUUCAUCUAAAGCUAAAUAUUGGCGAGAGACCGAUAGCGAACAAGUACCGUGAGGGAAAGAUGAAAAGAACUUUGAAAAGAGAGUUAAACAGUACGUGAAAUUGUCAAAAGGGAAGCGUUUGACACCAGUGUUGUUUUUCUGAAAAUCAAUUAAAGAACUGUUUAUGCUAAGCUGUUUAGACUUUAUCAGCUAACUGUUUAGUUUUGAGCUUUUCUUUAAUGCACUUUUCAGUUAACAAGUCAACAUCAAUUUCUUUUGCUGUAAAAAAGCUUGAGGAAGGUGGCUUGAGAUUCGUCUUAAGUGUUUAUAGCCUCUUGCCUAUGCAGUCGGAGAGAUUGAGGUCUGCAGCGUAGAUCCUUCGGGGCUAAAUGCAUUUGUGCUAAGUUAUAGCAUUUUAUAGACAACUUGUUGACUAUGAUUUGUCUUGUAGCUUACUCGCUUAUGUUAUUUUACCUACGCUUAGGAUGUUGAAGUCAUCGUAUCGCGC
rnacentral:rRNA from 1 species